GAAUAUUUUCAGGAAACUCUUCUUAACUUUUUUUAAUUUUGGUGUAUUAAUUUUGGGUUUUCCAUCAACAGAUCGCGUCUUUGUAUAACUGAGUCGAAUUUUGGAUGCGAUUCUUUUGGAUUUCUUCUUCGCGUUGGGUAAUGAAAUUCGAUGGAAAUCGAAUGAAAUUGUUUUUUUUUUUUAAGUGAUAGCUUUCUUGGUGUGUGAAUUUUAUUGGCCGUUCGAUCUUUAAUCAUGAAACUUGGACAGUCCAAGUCGGUUAGUCAUAUCGAAGUAGUUGCCAAAAUCGAUGAACAUUUAGAAUCAGAUGAUAAAUUCUAUUAGCUGGAACCAACGAUAAAUUUUGGAUUCUUCGAGGGGCUGGAAUUUGUCUACCUGGAAUUUGUAGGGUCAAUUUUGCCAUUAUGAAUAUGCGUGCUGAAAGAGGAGUAUGUGGGGGACAUUUCAGUAAUUAGAAAUUAAGUAUACACGUGUACUCGUUGUCUUUCCUUCUAAACUUGUAUUUCCAAAAACUUCUACGAUUUACAACUCACAAAAGUUUACGGAGUAUGGUUUUAUUGACAAUAAUACCCGGAAAAAAGUUGAAAACUCCAUUGGUGGACCGCAUACUUUCUGAGGUCAUCUGUUUCUUGAGCAUGCAGUCAGAGGGUAAAAUCGACGAUUCGUAAAAUUAUUAAUGUGAAUAUUUUACCGAUCUAUUAAUGCUAAGUACAUAAAUAGUAUGUAUUAUGUGUCAUCUAAAUCACAGCGCAUUACGCAAUCUCUGCAGCGGCUCAUCGGAUUUAUUUCAACGAAAACUAGAAAAUUUCGAAACCCUAACCCUCGUUUUCGUGUGUAGAAACAAGAGAUUGAAGAUGGGUUCUGAGCAGAACGAGGGCACGAGCUUUCCUCCCUCUGAGCCAAUUCUCUGCGCUAAUGGAUGUGGAUUUUUUGGGACGGCGGCCAACAUGAACCUUUGUUCCAAGUGCUACCGCGACCUUCGCGCCGAGGAAGAGCAGGCUGCCUCAGCCAAGGCGGCGAUGGAGAAGACUCUUAGUAUCAAAUCCAAAAAAGAGGAUGUUAUUGCUGAUACCCAUGAUGUGGCGAUGCCGGCGGUGGUUCCUAAUCUUUCUGAGCCUGUGGCGGUCUCUGAAUUAUCUUCUUCAUCAUCUGAGCCUUCGGUGGCUGGUGGUGAUCAGGCUCAGCCCAAAGCGGCGAAUAGGUGCUUUAGCUGCAAUAAGAAGGUUGGCUUGGCUGGAUUUAAGUGCAAGUGCGGGAGCACCUUCUGUGGGUCUCAUCGAUACCCAGAGAAUCAUGACUGCUCAUUUGAUUUCAAGGGCGCUGGCCGAAAUGCGAUCGCAAAGGCGAACCCUGUUGUUAAAGCUGAUAAGGUGGAGAGGAUCUGAUCCUCACUGGAUUGGUAAUUUGGAAUUCACCAUGGAGUUUCAUUUUCUUUUUUAGGUUUUUUUUUCCUCCAAUUAUAGAUUAUC
rnacentral:misc_RNA from 1 species